rnacentral:rRNA from 1 species
UGGGGAAUCUUGGACAAUGGGCGCAAGCCUGAUCCAGCCAUGCCGCGUGAGUGAAGAAGGCCUUAGGGUUGUAAAGCUCUUUUGGCAGGGACGAUAAUGACGGUACCUGCAGAAUAAGCCCCGGCAAACUUCGUGCCAGCAGCCGCGGUAAUACGAAGGGGGCUAGCGUUGUUCGGAUUUACUGGGCGUAAAGCGCACGUAGGCGGAUUGUUAAGUCAGGGGUGAAAUCCCGGAGCUCAACUCCGGAACUGCCUUUGAUACUGGCAAUCUUGAGGCUGGAAGAGGUUGGUAGAAUUCCCAGUGUAGAGGUGAAAUUCGUAGAUAUUGGGAAGAAUACCAGUGGCGAAGGCGGCCAACUGGUCCGAUACUGACGCUGAGGCACGAAAGCGUGGGGAGCAAACA